rnacentral:rRNA from 1 species
CCUACGGGGGGCAGCAGUGGGGGAUAUUGCACAAUGGGGGAAACCCUGAUGCAGCGACGCCGCGUGUGGGAAGACGGUCUUCUGGAUUGUAAACCACUGUCCCCAGGGACGAAAAUGACGGUACCUGGGGAGGAAGCUCCGGCUAACUACGUGCCAGCAGCCGCGGUAAUACGUAGGGAGCAAGCGUUGUCCGGAAUUACUGGGUGUAAAGGGAGCGUAGGCGGGGAUGCAAGUUGGGUGUCAAAACUACCGGCUCAACCGAUAGUCGCACUCAAAACUGCAACUCUUGAGUGAAGUAGAGGCAGGCGGAAUUCGUGGUGUAGCGGUGAAAUGCGUAGAUAUUAGGAGGAACACCAGUGGCGAAGGCGGCCUGCUGGGCUUUUACUGACGCUGAGGCUCGAAAGUGUGGGGAGCAAACAGGAUUAGAUACCCUGGUAGUC